GGGAUAUUGCACAAUGGGCGCAAGCCUGAUGCAGCAACGCCGCGUGCGCGAUGAAGGCCUUCGGGUCGUAAAGCGCUUUUCUGGCUGAAGAGGAAGGACAGUAAGCCAGGAAUAAGUGUCGGCUAACUACGUGCCAGCAGCCGCGGUAAAACGUAGGACGCGAGCGUUACCCGGAGUUACUGGGCGUAAAGCGCGGGCAGGCGGCCCUGCAAGUCUGAUGUGAAAGCGCCCGGCUCAACCGGGCGAGGCCAUUGGAGACUACAGGGCUGGAGGGCAGUAGAGGUAGGCGGAAUUCCAGGUGGAGUGGUGAAAUGCGUAGAGAUCCGGAGGAACACCAGAGGCGAAGGCGGCCUACUGGGCUGCACCUGACGCUGAGCCGCGAAAGCCAGGGGAGCGAA
rnacentral:rRNA from 1 species